UGAGUUUUACUGGGUCAAGCUUGGUGGU
rnacentral:piRNA from 1 species